UGCGUAGGCGGAAUAUUAAGUCAGUGGUGAUAUCCUGCGGCUCAACCGUAGAACUGCCAUUGAUACUGAUAUUCUUGAAUGUAGUUGAGGUAGGCGGAAUGUGUAAUGUAGCGGUGAAAUGCUUAGAUAUUACACAGAACACCGAUUGCGAAGGCAGCUUACUAAACUAUGAUUGACGCUGAGGCACGAAAGCGUGGGGAGCGAACAGGAUUAGAUACCCUGGUAGUCC
rnacentral:rRNA from 1 species